rnacentral:rRNA from 1 species
UAGUCCAAGCCGUAAACGAUGAUUAAUAAAGUGUGGGAGGGUUUCCGCCCUUCAGUGCUGCAGCUAACGCAUUAAGUAAUCCGCCUGGGGAGUACGACCGCAAAGUUGAAACUCAAAAGAAUUGACGGGGGCCCGCACAAGCGGUGGAGCAUGUGGUUUAAUUCGAAGCUACGCGAAGAACCUUACCAGGUCUUGACAUCUUCUGACAGUCUAAGAGAUUAGAGGUUCCCUUCGGGGACAGAAUGACAGGUGGUGCAUGGUUGUCGUCAGCUCGUGUCGUGAGAUGUUGGGUUAAGUCCCGCAACGAGCGCAACCCUUAUUACUAGUUGCCAGCAUUAAGUUGGGCACUCUAGUGAGACUGCCGGUGACAAACCGGAGGAAGGUGGGGACGACGUCAAAUCAUCAUGCCCCUUAUGACCUGGGCUACACACGUGCUACAAUGGAUGGUACAACGAGUCGCGAGACCGCGAGGUUAAGCUAAUCUCUUAAAACCAUUCUCAGUUCGGACUGUAGGCUGCAACUCGCCUACACGAAGUCGGAAUCGCUAGUAAUCGCGGAUCAGCAUGCCGCGGUGAAUACGUUCCCGGGCCUUGUACACACCGCCCGUCACACCAUGAGAGUUUGUAACACCCAAAGCCGGUGGGGUAACCUUUAGGAGCUAGCCGUCUAA